rnacentral:lncRNA from 1 species
CAUGACUGAGUUACUGUACGGACAGGUUACACCUGUACUACACCACAUGACUGAGUUACUGUACGGACAGGUUACACCUGUACUACACCACAUGACUGAGUUACUGACAGGUUACACCUGUACUACACCACAUGACUGAGUUACACCUGUACUACACCACAUGACUGAGUUACUGUACGGACAGGUUACACCUGUACUACACCACAUGACUGAGUUACUGUACGGACAUGUUACACCUGUACUACACCACAUGACUGAGUUACUGUACGGACAGGUUACACCUGUACUACACCACAUGUCUGAGUUACUGUACGGACAGGUUACACCUGUACUACACCACAUGACUGAGUUACUGACAGGUUACACCUGUACUACACCACAUGACUGAGUUACUGUACGGACAGGUUACACCUGUACUACACCACAUGACUGAGUUACUGUAUGGACAGGUUACACCUGUACUACACCACAUGACUGAGUUACUGUACGGACAGGUUGACCUGUACUACACCACAUGACUGAGUUACUGUACGGACAGGUAACACCUGUACUACACCACAUGACUGAGUUACUGACAGGUUACACCUGUACUACACCACAUGACUGAGUUACUGUACGGACAGGUUACACCUGUACUACACCACAUGACUGAGUUACUGACAGGUUACACCUGUACUACACCACAUGACUGAGUUACACCUGUACUACACCACAUGACUGAGUUACUGUACGGACAGGUUACACCUGUACUACACCACAUGACUGAGUUACUGUACGGACAGGUUACACCUGUACUACACCACAUGACUGAGUUACUGUACGGACAGGUUACACCUGUACUACACCACAUGACUGAGUUACUGUACGGACAGGUAACACCUGUACUACACCACAUGACUGAGUUACUGUACGGACAGGUAACACCUGUACUACACCACAUGACUGAGUUACUGUACGGACAGGUAACACCUGUACUACACCACAUGACUGAGUUACUGUACGGACAGGUAACACCUGUACUACACCACAUGACUGAGUUACUGUACGGACAGGUUACACCUGUACUACACCACAUGACUGAGUUACUGUACGGACAGGUUACACCUGUACUACACCACAUGACUGAGUUACUGUACGGACAGGUUACACCUGUACUACACCACAUGACUGAGUUACUGACAGGUUACACCUGUACUACACCACAUGACUGAGUUACACCUGUACUACACCACAUGACUUAGUGACUGUACGGACAGGUUACACCUGUACUACACCACAUGACUGAGUUACUGUACGGACAGGUUACACCUGUACUACACCACAUGACUGAGUUACUGUACGGACAGGUUACACCUGUACUACACCACAUGACUGAGUUACUGUACGGACAGGUUACACCUGUACUACACCACAUGACUGAGUUACUGUACGGACAGGUUACACCUGUACUACACCACAUGACUGAGUUACUGUACGGACAGGUUACACCUGUACUACACCACAUGACUGAGUUACUGUACAGACAGGUUACACCUGUACUACACCACAUGACUGAGUUACUGUACGGACAGGUUACACCUGUACUACACCACAUGACUGAGUUAAUGUACGGACAGGUUACACCUGUACUACACCACAUGACUGAGUUACUGUACGGACAGGUUACACCUGUACUACACCACAUGACUGAGUUACUGUACGGACAGGUUACACCUGUACUACACCACAUGACUGAGUUACUGUACGGACAGGUAACACCUGUAAUACACCACAUGACUGAGUUACUGUACAGACAGGUUACACCUGUACUACACCACAUGACUGAGUUACUGUACAGACAGGUUACACCUGUACUACACCACAUGACUGAGUUACUGUACGGACAGGUUACACCUGUACUACACCACAUGACUGAGUUACUCUACGGACAGGUUACACCUGUACUACACCACAUGACUGAGUUACUGUACGGACAGGUUACACCUGUACUACACCACAUGACUGAGUUACUCUACGGACAGGUUACACCUGUACUACACCACAUGACUGAGUUACUGUACGGACAGGUAACACCUGUACUACACCACAUGACUGAGUUACUGUACGGACAGGUUACACCUGUACUACACCACAUGACUGAGUUACUGUACGGACAGGUUACACCUGUACUACACCACAUGACUGA